rnacentral:lncRNA from 1 species
UAAAACAUGCCCACAUACGUAAAUCUGCAAUGUAAGCAUGUCUACAAAAAUUUAAGAAAAUUGUCGAGGACAACACCAAUUGAUACAACUCAAAAAGUAUAGAAAAACAAUGAAUAUAUAUACUAGGAACUUCAAUUAACUACCAAGGUUUCAAGUCUCCCACUGGUCCCGAUGUCCAGUUUAAAAACUUGCCCCCAGGUUUCAAAUAUGUACUCUUGUCAUGCGGCAACUUACGAGCAAGACCAUUCAAUAUUUGAUGGAAAGCGUCACCCGGUUGUGCAGGCUGUGGGAACAACAUUGCGCGUUUCAUUGAAGGAUUUGCUAGAAGUCUCUGCUUCCUCAAAA